CCAAAUACAGUUGUGCCAAGGUUGUAGGGUCAUACCCAAAAAGAGUCGAGUCUGUAAUCGCUACCAAUGGUGCUUCAACAAAGUACUGAGCAAAGUGUCUAAGUACUUAUGUAACUGUUUUUAUUUAGUUGUUUUUUUUGCACAAAAAAAAAUUAAAACCUGUUUUUACUUGAUGAGGGGGAAAAACAAUUGAAUCAAAAGAAUAAGGCGUUAACUUAACGAAAUGUGUAAAAAGCCAAGGGUUCUGAAUACUAAUACUUUAUUAUCAAUUUUCACAAAGACACGGAUGUGUCUUUUUCCUUUUUCCUUUAUCCCAAUACAUCUGAUAUACAGUGCUUUUAGAAAGUAUUCACACCCCUUGACUUUUUCCACGUUUUGUUGUGUUACAGGCUGAAUUGAUAAUGGAUUCAAUUUAGGUUUUGUGUCACUGGCCUACAACACAAUACCCCAUGUCAAAGUUGAAUUAUGUUUUUGGAAAUUUCUGCAAAUUAAUCAAAGAUGAAAAGCUGGAAUGUCUUGGGUUAAUAAGUAUUCAACCCCUUAGUUAAAAAGAAAGAAAUUGUAAUGUUUUUUUACCCCUUUUUCCUGAUAUCCAAUUGGUAGUUACAGUCUUUUCCCAUCGCUGUAACUCCGGUACGGACUCGGGAGAGGCGAAGGUCGGGGGCCAUGUUCCCUUCAAAACACAACCCCGCCAAGCCGCACUGCUUGCUUAACCGGGAAGCCAGCCGCACCAAUGUGUCAAAGGAAACACCACACAGCGGGCGACCAACGUCAGCCACUAGGAUUCGCUACAACGCGAUGGGACAAGGACAUCCCAGCCGGCAAAACCCUCCCCUAACCCGGACGAUGCUGGGCCAAUUGUGUUCCACCUCAUGGGUCUUCCAGGCUGUGCCACAGCCCGGGAUCGAACUCGGAUCUGUAGUGACGCCUCUAGCUCUACGAUGCAGUGCCUUAGACUGCAGCACCACUCGGGAGGCCAAACCCCUUUGUUAUGGAACACUGAAAUAAGUUCAGAAAGAAAGAUGUGUUUAUUAACAAGUCACAUAAGUUGCAUGGACACAUUCUGUGUGUAAUUAUAGAGUUUAACAAGAUUUUUUAAUGACUAACUCUUCUCUGUUCCCCACACAUACAAUUAUCUGUCAGGUCCCUUAGUCUAGCAGUGAAUUUCAAACAUAUAUACAACCACAAAGCCCAGAGAGGUUUUCCAAUCAUUUGCAAAGAAGGGCACCUAUUGGUAGAAGGAUUUUUAAAAAGCAGACUGAGUAUCCCUUUGAGCAAGGUGAAGUUAUUAAUUACACUUUGGAUGGUGUAUUAAUACACCCAGUCACUACAAAGAUACAGGCAUCCUUCCUAACUCAGUUGUCGGAGAGGAAGGAAACCACUCAGGGAUUUCACCAUGAGGCCAAUGGUGACUUUAAAACAAUUACAGAGUUGAAUGGCAUGGAUAGGAGAAAACUGAGGAUGGCUCAACAACAUUGUAAUUACUCCACAAUACUAACCUAAAUAACAGAGUGAAAAGUAGGAAGCCUGUAAAAUAUUCCAAAACAUGCAUCCUGUUCGUAAUAAGGCACUAACGUAAAACUGCAAAAAACGUGUCGAAGAAAUGAACUUUAUGUCCUGAAUACAAUGCGUGGUUGUCUAGCAAUGAUCAACAACCAAUUUGACAAAGCUGUAAGAAUUUUUUAAAGAAAAUAUUGUACAAUCCAGGUGUGCAAAACUCAUAGAGACGUACCCAGAAAGACUCACGGUUGUAAUCGCUGCCAAAGGUGUUUCUAACAGGUAUUGACUCAGGGGCGGGAAUGCUUAUGAAAAUGAGAUUUUUCUGUAUUUCAUUUUCAAUAUAUUUGCAAAGAUGUCUGAAAACAUUUCACCUUGUCAUUAUUGUGUAAAAUGUGUAGAAAAAAAUCUAUUUAAUCCAUUUUGAAUUCAGGCUGCAACAACAAAAUGUGGAAUAAGUCAAGGGGUAUGAAUACUUUCUGAAGUCACUGUAUGCCAGAGAAUGAACUGUCAACACUUUGAGGUGAAUUUCAGUGAUGGGAAAACUGCAACUACAUGAACCUGGUAAAGAUCACGAUAUGGCUUCUCAUUGAGGUGGUGGCCUUUUACUGUAUGUUUCUGCAUGAAACCCAUUUAACUAUCACACACUUAAUGACAUUAUGACUGUCAUCAGACCUUUUCUUCUGUUUCAGAUCAAGUACAGUUUUACAUUAGUCUGCUUGUCUGCUUGUCUCAAUCUUACGGCUGGCUUUCUGUCUGUCCAUAUUUGCAAGAGUUGCAACUAAGCCAUCAAAGUCAGUGAAAAUAUCCAGAUCCCCAGGCUCAGAGGAGAGCACUGUUUCGGACCUAAUGGUUGAUUGACAUUCAUAUAACUUACUUUCAGUUUUGUAAAUAAAUAAAUAAAAUUCACCUCUGCUGGUUGGUUCCACCUGUAUUUUAUGCUACUAAAUUCUCAUCGGCUCAAUAACGAUGUACAAGCUAACAUCUUGGUGCGAAUAGUUUUUCCAGAUAAUUUGUGUCUGGACGCCUGAAGAGGGAAGAUUACCAGAGAGAACAAAUCGGGAAUUGACUGGCCAAUGUGAAAAUGAAGGGUUUUAUCCUUCUGGUGCUGGGAAUAGGCCUUGUAACAACAGUUAAUGUAAUAACACUAGUUAAUGUAAUAACACGGGUUAAUGUAACAACACGGGUUAAUGUACUAACACCGGUUAAUGUAACAACACUAGUUAAUGUAAUAACACGGGUUAAUGUAACAACACGGGUUAAUGUACUAACACCGGUUAAUGUAACAACACUAGUUAAUGUAAUAACACGGGUUAAUGUAACAACACCAGUUAAUGUAAUAACACAGGUUAAUGUACUAACACCGGUUAAUGUAAUAACACUAGUUAAUGUAAUAACACUAGUUAAUGUAAUAACAUGGGUUAAUUUAAUAACAUGGGUUAAUGUAACAACACCGGUUAAUGUAAUAACACGGGUUAAUGUAAUAACACUGGUUAAUGUAAUAACACUGGUUAAUGUACUAACACCGGUUAAUGUAAUAAAAUGGGUUAAUGUAAUAAAAUGGGUUAAUGUAAUAACACUGGUUAAUGUAAUAACACCGGUUAAUGUAAUAACACCAGUUAAUGUAAUAAAAUGGGUUAAUGUAAUAACACUGGUUAAUGUAAUAACACCGGUUAAUGUAACAACACCAGUUAAUGUAAUAACACCAGUUAAUGUAAUAAAAUUGGUUAAUGUAAUAACACCGGUUAAUGUAACAACACUGGUUAAUGUAAUAACACCAGUUAAUCUUUUAUCAGAAAAAAGCGUUGUUAAAAAUGUCAUGUGUCCAGCCUUCUACUAGUGAUGCUCCUAACAUUUCCUGUUCUGUUUUAGUGGACUCUGCCACAGAGGCUUCCCCAAGCAACAGAAGUUGCAACAGAGGCUGAAAGGGAAAUGGCCGAAAUUGCACAGUCUAACAGGGCAUAGCAGGAAAGUGGCGAUGGAACUGCUGUUGGUCAGCUUGUGCAGAUCAAUAGGUACUUCCUCAGUUUGUAACAGUGCAAUAUUGUUAGAUCAAUGAAUAUAAUUCAUCUCCCUGGUAAAAGUAUUUAGAACCUUUCCGAUGACCGAAAAGGCGUGGAGAGGAAGAACAGCAUCCCCCAUCGAUGGUACCCCACCAUCAGUCGCUUCAACUCAUAUCAGUUCUAUGAUAUUUCUCGGUGGGCAAACACAAUAAUACAUUUUAUUCUUUGCUGUUUCUGAACUUGUUUCGGUUGGUAAUGGUCUAUUGUCGGAUGGUAAUAGAGUAAUUGUAUAGCUGCUCUUGUCAUUUUUCAAUGUUUUGCCUUUGUCUAUUUGUUGUGUGUUUCUUGUUUAUUGAACAUGUCCAUUCUGUUUUAAUGUAUGUCAUUGUAUUCCUGUCCUUUGUUUAAAAUGUAAGUAUCUGUGGACAUUUCUGUUUAAUUGUUAGAUGUGAGCCUGGUAUAUCCCAACCUAAGUAAUAAUAAUAAUAAUAAUAUAUGCCAUUUAGCAGACGCUUUUAUCCAAAGCGACUUACAGUCAUGUGUGCAUACAUUCUACGUAUGGGUGGUCCCGGGGGUCGAACCCACUACCCUGGCGUUACAAGCUCCAUGCUCUACCAACUGAGCUACAGAAGUCUAAUGGAAUAGACAGGUUUGCUUCUUCCAAGGUAUUGUGUUUUCAUUGACCUGUUAGUUGUGGAGUUUGUAUAUCAAUUUAGAUAAUUUUGUAAAUAUUGUCAUUUGAACAUCUAUAUCACCAUUGUCAUCUUUAAAUAAAGUAAUUACUUCUACACCUGA